GGUGAUAUAGCUCAGUUGGUAGAGCAUCGGACUGAAAAUCCGUGAGUCGGUGGUUCGAAUCCACCUAUCACCACCA
rnacentral:tRNA from 1 species